UGACCUCGGAUCAGGUAGGAAUACCCGCUGAACUUAAGCAUAUCAAUAAGCCGGAGGA
rnacentral:rRNA from 5 species